UACGGAGGGGGUUAGCGUUGUCCGGAAUCACUGGGCUUAAAGGGUCCGCAGGCGGAUCAGCAAGUAUCUUGUGAAAUACCAUGGCUCAACCAUGGAAUUGCUUGGUAAACUGCUGAUCUUGAACACGGUAGGGGCCAUCGGAACUCUAGGUGGAGCGGUGAAAUGCGUAGAUAUCUAGAGGAACGCCAGAGGCGAAGGCGGAUGGCUGGGCCGUUGUUGACGCUCAGGGACGAAAGCGUGGGUAGCGAAC
rnacentral:rRNA from 1 species